rnacentral:piRNA from 1 species
UAAUUGACUGCAGGCAAACAUCUCCC